rnacentral:rRNA from 1 species
UGGUGGAGUGAUUUGUCUGGUUAAUUCCGAUAACGAACGAGACCCCGUCCUACUUACUAGACGGAGGUUUCUUUUGACCUCCGAGUCUUCUUAGAGGGACAACUGGCGUUUAUCUAGCUACAUGAAAUGGGCAAUAACA